CUCAUCGGCUACUGCUGCGACGGGGACGAGCGCCUGCUCGUCGCCGAGUUCAUGCCCAACGACACCCUCGCCAAGCACGUCUUCCACUGUUUAUGGCUGAUCGUCAUGCUUUAGCCGAGGAACGGAUGGAGUUACCAAGAAAAAAAGGAGGAAGUCCGUCACCUGAACAUGAUCAUUGAAGAGAUUAAUGACAAUAAUGGAGCUUAUAUCAACAAGCUCGUUGACAAGAGAAGGAAGCUUCAAGCUGAACUUAGAUCAAAUGAGUCUUGGAGAGAUGAGGUUGUGCAUCUAUGUGCUGAAAUCGAGAAGCUCCACGCCGUUAGGAAAGAACUCUCUGCAAAGGUUGCAUCACUCAUGCAUGAGCUUAGUAGGGACAAAUCACAUAGAUGACAGGAACUUACAUAUGCAAGGCACACUAUGGUGGGGUUUGAGCAAUCCUGAUUUAGGAAUCUGUUCAGGAAGGGGCAUGGUAAUCUAUCAAAGAACAGUGGUACAAUAUUAAUUAACGACUCAAAGGUAUGCAACUGAAUUUAUUGAUAGAUUUAGAUGCCACCGUAUUUUGUAUUUGUUCGGGUUAUGCUGCAAAAGAGAUGCUUUACAUGGCCCAACGUUUUGCUAGCACAAACGCAUGACCAAAUUUGGCUUGGCGUUGUAACAAAUUUUCAGUUUCAUGUUUAUCAACUUAGAUGUGUUGUUGUUUUUUCGA